AGGGAAUAUUGGACAAUGGGCGAAAGCCUGAUCCAGCCAUGCCGCGUGGUAGAUGAAGGCCCUCUGGGUUGUAAAUACCUUUUAUCUGGGAAGAAAUAUCUCGUUCUCGAGAAACUGACGGUACCAGAUGAAUAAGCACCGGCUAACUCCGUGCCAGCAGCCGCGGUAAUACGGAGGGUGCAAGCGUUAUCCGGAUUCACUGGGUUUAAAGGGUGCGUAGGCGGAAUUAUAAGUCAGUGGUGAAAGCCCCGAGCUCAACUUGGGAACUGCCAUUGAUACUGUUUUUCUUGAAUACGAUUGAGGUAAGCGGAAUGUUGCAUGUAGCGGUGAAAUGCUUAGAUAUGUUACAGAACACCAAUUGCGAAGGCAGCUUACUAAGUCGUCAUUGACGCUGAGGCACGAAAGCGUGGGUAGCAAAC
rnacentral:rRNA from 1 species